rnacentral:rRNA from 1 species
UUCUGGCUCAGGAUGAACGCUGGCGGCGUGCCUAACACAUGCAAGUCGAACGAAGCAUACGGACUGGAGAUUCGUCGAAGGACUGUAUGACUUAGUGGCGGACGGGUGAGUAAUGUAUGAGCAACCUGCCUUUCAGAGGGGGACAACAGUUGGAAACGACUGCUAAUACCGCGUAACGUAUCGUGGGGGCAUCCUCGUGAUACCAAAGGAGCAAUCCGCUGAAAGAUGGGCUCAUAUCUGAUUAGCUUGUUGGCGGGGUAACGGCCCACCAAGGCGACGAUCAGUAGCCGGACUGAGAGGUUGAACGGCCACAUUGGGACUGAGAUACGGCCCAGACUCCUACGGGAGGCAGCAGUGGGGAAUAUUGGGCAAUGGGCGAAAGCCUGAACCCCAGCAACGCCGCGUGAAGGAAGAAGGUCUUCGGAUUGUAAACUUCUUUUAUGAGGGACGAAGGACGUGACGGUACCUCAUGAAUAAGCCACGGCUAACUACGUGCCAGCAGCCGC